GAUGAACGCUGGCGGCGUGCCUAAUACAUGCAAGUCGAGCGAACGGACGAGAAGCUUGCUUCUCUGAUGUUAGCGGCGGACGGGUGAGUAACACGUGGAUAACCUACCUAUAAGACUGGGAUAACUUCGGGAAACCGGAGCUAAUACCGGAUAAUAUUUUGAACCGCAUGGUUCAAAAGUGAAAGACGGUCUUGCUGUCACUUAUAGAUGGAUCCGCGCUGCAUUAGCUAGUUGGUAAGGUAACGGCUUACCAAGGCAACGAUGCAUAGCCGACCUGAGAGGGUGAUCGGCCAAACUGAAACUAGGACACGGUCCAGACUCCUACGGGAGGCAGCAGUAGGAAAUCUUCCGCAAUGGGCGAAGGCCUGACGGGGCAACGCCGCGUGGGUAAUGAAGGUCUUCGGAUCGUAAAACUCUGUUAUUGGGGAGGAACAUAUGUGUAAGUAACUGUGCACAUCUGGACGGUACCUAAUCAGAAGGCCACGGCUAACUACGU
rnacentral:rRNA from 1 species